rnacentral:sRNA from 1 species
GUGAAGUUGAUCACAAGCAAACAUAUACCCCUUUGUUUGACCGUGAAAAAUUUCUCCCAUCCCCUUUGUUCGAGAAAAGGCCUUGCAGUUUGUCAUUGCAAGGCCUUUUC